rnacentral:rRNA from 2 species
AACGAACGCUGGCGGCAGGCUUAACACAUGCAAGUCGAACGGACGUAGCAAUACGUUAGUGGCGCACGGGAGAGUAACACGUGGGAACCUACCUUUUAGUUCGGAAUAACGUCGGGAAACUGACGCUAAUACCGGAUACGCCCCAAGGGGGAAAGAUUUAUCGCUAAAAGAUGGGCCCGCGCUAGAUUAGCUUGUUGGUGAGGUAAUGGCUCACCAAGGCUACGAUCUAUAGCUGGUCUGAGAGGAUGGCCAGCCUCACUGGGACUGAGACACGGCCCAGACUCCUACGGGAGGCAGCAGUGGGGAAUAUUGGACAAUGGGGGAAACCCUGAUCCAGCCAUGCCGCGUGAAUGAUGAAGGCCUUCGGGUUGUAAAGUUCUUUUGGAGGGGACGAUGAUGACGGUACCCUCAGAAUAAGCUCCGGCUAACUUCGUG